GACGAAGGAUGCAAGCGUUAUCCGGAUUCAUUGGGUUUAAAGGGUGCGUAGGUGGUCUAUUAAGUCAGUGCUGAAAUAUCCCGGCUUAACCGGGAGGGUGGCAUUGAUACUGAUGGACUUGAGUAAAGUUGAGGUAGGCGGAAUUGACGGUGUAGCGGUGAAAUGCUUAGAUAUCGUCAAGAACACCUAUUGCGAAGGCAGCUUACUAAGCUUUAACUGACACUGAGGCACGAAAGUGUGGGGAUCAAACAGG
rnacentral:rRNA from 1 species